AACCCGAAUUUUGCGAAGGGAAAACGAAGUGAGCGAAAGAAACUCUGCAAAGCCUAAUCACCAACGACAAAACUAAUUCUCAAAUUCAGCUUUUGAUCAAUGGAAGUAAAAGUGUGGGGAUAUUCUUCAAAUGAAGAUAGUGAUGAUAAUGAUAAUGAUCAAGUCUUUUUGCAAAAUGCAAGCGAUGAUGAGAACCUUCACUUCACAUCUAGUUCCUUGCCCAAAUUGCAAUUCAGGAACGUGAAAUCAAAAGGCAGGUGGAAUGAAGAAAUGGGAAUGGCAGAGGUUAUUGAGAAGAGUGGGAAAAUGUGGGUAUCAACUGGAAUAGUUCGCAGUGGAAAGAUUUAUACUUCAAUCGAGGAGACUUUUUUUGGCAGGUAUCUUAUGGAAGUAGGAGCCUUACAUCUCGUAGACGAUGAAAAUAGAAGUAUAUAUCUAAUAGAAAUGUACGAUAAGGUUGCAGGCGGGAAGAGUGGAUGUUGCUGGGAGCUGUUUGAGGCUUACAGGCAUCUCAAGUCUCUCGGCUACAUAAUUGGGAGACAUGGUGUUGCUUGGAGUUUGAAGAGCGUUAGAGGUUCUCAAAAACAAGUUGCUCUUCAAGUUACAGAAGAAAGCACGCGACUAGUAGACAUGGGUUCCAAGCUUGACCUUUCCAUCAGUAAGCUAUUUGGUGACUUGAAGAUUAACGAUUUGAAGCCGGAUUUUGAUGUUUAUCUUCCUGACAGUAGGUUUAGAAAAUCUUCUCCAGGCGAUCCAAAUUUUCUGCUGUACUUGUCUAGGGGUCAUCUGCCAUCUAGAGAUGAAAUUGAAGCCCUUGAGAGACAAUGCGCGGGGAUUCCGUUGAAAAUCUGCCUGGUCACAGAAGGAAGGGUCAGUUUCUUUUCCUUUGACAAGGUUGAACUUCCUGUUCUACCCUGAAAGUUUGGUAUCAAUUCUAUUUUUCCACUCUAUGCUCAGAGGGAAAAGAAACAAAAGAUUGUAAUGAUAGAAUAGCUUGUAAGAUCCAACAAUGUGCAACAAAGCUGCAGAAAUAAUGGUUAAGGUUAAGAUAGCCUUGCACUGCAAAUGGCCUCAGUUUCACAAACUGGAGCAUGCUUUUGGUCAAACUGGUUAUUAUAAUUAUAAUGCAGAUGUGUGCAAUGUUGUUGACCAUAACAAGAAACUGAAGGCAAGGGAUUAGCAAUACAUGCCUCAGAUUUAUCUCUGUCGUGUGUUGUUUUGGAAGACUCGAGUUCUUACAUCAUUAGUGAUCUUCUUCGUUUAGUUAUGAAAUUGUUAAAAUUCUUCAAGACUUUGUUUCAGAGUUUGGAGAGGAAGGGAAUUAGAGAUCACAUUGGGUUUGUUAAUUGUUGAUGACACUAGUAUGCUAUGAUCAUAGAUGAAUGUUAAGCAAUAACUCCUAAUCACAACCACAUAGAGUUACGGUGGAUGAAAAGAGCCAUUAUGUAUUAACACAGUAAAGUUGAAGGAUCAAAUUGACACUUUCUAAAGCUAGGGGUCAAUUUUUUUUGUUUA